rnacentral:rRNA from 1 species
GAUGAACGCUAGCGGGAGGCCUAACACAUGCAAGCCGAGCGGUAUUUGUUCUUCGGAACAGAGAGAGCGGCGCACGGGUGCGGUACACGUGUGCAACCUGCCUUUAUCUGGGGGAUAGCCUUUCGAAAGGAAGAUUAAUACCCCAUAAUAUAUUGAGUGGCAUCACUUGAUAUUGAAAACUCCGGUGGAUAGAGAUGGGCACGCGCAAGAUUAGAUAGUUGGUGAGGUAACGGCUCACCAAGUCAAUGAUCUUUAGGGGGCCUGAGAGGGUGAUCCCCCACACUGGUACUGAGACACGGACCAGACUCCUACGGGAGGCAGCAGUGAGGAAUAUUGGACAAUGGGUUAGCGCCUGAUCCAGCCAUCCCGCGUGAAGGACGACGGCCCUAUGGGUUGUAAACUUCUUUUGUAUAGGGAUAAACCUACUCUCGUGAGAGUAGCUGAAGGUACUAUACGAAUAAGCACCGGCUAACUCCGUG